UUGGAGGGCAAGUCUGGUGCCAGCAGCCGCGGUAAUUCCAGCUCCAAUAGCGUAUAUUAAAGUUGUUGCAGUUAAAAAGCUCGUAGUUGAAUUUCGGGAUUAAUAUGCUGGUCGUGCCAUUGGUACGUACUAGUAUUAUUGAUUUCUCCCUUCUGAUGAAUCAUGAUAUCAUUAAUUUGAUGUCAUGGGGAAUCAGGACUGUUACUUUGAAAAAAUUAGAGUGUUUAAAGCAGGC
rnacentral:rRNA from 1 species